GUUCCUAAAAGAAGCUCCGGAUUGGCGAUAUUUGGCAACAAAGGUUGUAUUAAUAUUCGGUAUAAAUGGUGCAUGUAGACGUCAAGAGUUGGCAAACAUAACAACUAAUGAUGUCGAGAACCAUGGGCGGGUUCUUCUUUUCCAGGUCAAAA